rnacentral:lncRNA from 1 species
AAACAUAAGAAAUUUUAAAACCAUUGAAAUUUAAUUUAUCUUAUUUUAAAAUUAGAGGGAGAGAUGGCGGGAGAAUGAAUACGAGGCAUAUGUUUUUCUUUUCACACGAGGCAAGUCCACUUGAUUCUUCAUAAUCACGAGACAUAUUCAGAGUUGAACUUUCGAUGCUUUCUAACAUAUUCAAAACUCUCAACACCAAGCUUUUUUUCUUUCUUGUUUUUUUUUUUUUGUUUUUUUUUUUUUCAGCACUCGACACAAAAUGAGUCUUAAUGCUCACCCAUUUCUCUAUAAAUAAAGAUAUACAUUUACACACACUACGUAUGAUCAGCGGAAACUACUUUCAUAAUUCUGUCAUCUCUUUCUCUCUCUCUGAAAACAACAAUCUUUAAUUCAAUCUAAUUUUGCAGGAAAAUGGCAUCAAC